rnacentral:lncRNA from 1 species
CGAGAUCCGGAUCCGAACGAUAAAUGAGAUCUCACGACCUCUAGCGUAACCCGGGGGAUCUACAGGGAAGGGGAGGACGAGGAACUCACCAUGGCUAGGGACGGUCGAGGCCCGCGAGGAGGAGCGAGGCGGGUGGGCGUGGCCGCGCGGAUCUGGCGGCGAGGGCGGCCGGGGUUGCAGCCGGUCGUCGGAGGAGGUAGGAUCGCCGAGAGACGGGAGCGCGAGCGGCGUCGGUCGGCGUCUGGGCUGGGCUGGGCGGUCUGGGUCGCGUCGGGUGCGCGAUCUGCUACGGUGCUNNNNNNNNNNNNNNNNNNNNNNNNNNNNNNNNGGGUAUUCUCUCCUAUUCUCCGAGAUCCGGAUCCGAACGAUAAAUGAGAUCUCACGACCUCUAGCGUAACCCGGGGGAUCUACAGGGAAGGGGAGGACGAGGAACUCACCAUGGCUAGGGACGGUCGCGGCCCGCGUAGAUCUGCCGAGGCCCGAGAGGAGGAGCGAGGCGGGUGGGCGUGGCCGCGCGGAUCUGGCGGCGAGGGCGGCCGGGGUUGCAGCCGGUCGUCGGAGGAGGUAGGAUCGCCGAGAGACGGGAGCGCGAGCGGCGUCGGUCGGCGUCUGGGCUGGGCUGGGCGGUCUGGGUCGCGUCGGGUGCGCGAUCUGCUACGGUGCUACCAGUGUUGAGCCAAAC